rnacentral:rRNA from 1 species
AAAGAGCUCGUAGGUGGUUUGUCGCGUAGUUCGUGAAAUCUCACGGCUUAACUGUGAGCGUGCGGGCGAUACGGGCAGACUUGAGUACUGCAGGGGGGACUGGAAUUCCUGGUGUAGCGGUGGAAUGCGCAGAUAUCAGGAGGAACACCGGUGGCGAAAGCGGGUCUCUGGGCAGUAACUGACGCUGAGGAGCGAAAGCGUGGGGAGCGAACAGGAUUAGAUACCCUGGUAGUCCACGCCGUAAACGGUGGGUACUAGGUGUGGGUUUCCUUCCUUGGGAUCCGUGCCGUAGCUAACGCAUUAAGUACCCCGCCUGGGGAGUACGGCCGCAAGGCUAAAACUCAAAGAAAUUGACGGGGGCCCGCACAAGCGUCGGAGCAUGUGGAUUAAUUCGAUGCAACGCGAAGAACCUUACCUGGGUUUGACAUGCACAGGACGCCGGCAGAGAUGUCGGUUCCCUUGUGGCCUGUGUGCAGGUGGUGCAUGGCUGUCGUCAGCUCGUGUCUUGAGAUGUUGGGUUAAGUCCCGCAACGAGCGCAACCCUUGUCUCAUGUUGCCAGCGGGUAAUGCCGGGGACUCGUGAGAGACUGCCGGGGUCAACUCGGAGGAAGGUGGGGAUGACGUCAAGUCAUCAUGCCCCUUAUGUCCAGGGCUUCACACAUGCUACAAUGGCCGGUACAAAGGGCUGCGAUGCCGCGAGGUUAAGCGAAUCCUUUUAAAGCCGGUCUCAGUUCGGAUCGGGGUCUGCAACUCGACCCCGUGAAGUCGGAGUCGCUAGUAAU